rnacentral:tRNA from 1 species
GGGGUUGUGGCUUAGAGGUAGAGCGCUCACCUAGCAUGUGCGAGGCCCUGGGUUCAAUACUCAGCACCCCA